AUUGAACGCUGGCGGAAUGCUUUACACAUGCAAGUCGAACGGCAGCACGGGGGCAACCCUGGUGGCGAGUGGCGAACGGGUGAGUAAUACAUCGGAACGUGCCCAGUCGUGGGGGAUAACGUAGCGAAAGCUACGCUAAUACCGCAUACGAUCUACGGAUGAAAGCGGGGGAUCGCAAGACCUCGCGCGAUUGGAGCGGCCGAUGGCAGAUUAGGUAGUUGGUGGGGUAAAGGCUCACCAAGCCUUCGAUCUGUAGCUGGUCUGAGAGGACGACCAGCCACACUGGGACUGAGACACGGCCCAGACUCCUACGGGAGGCAGCAGUGGGGAAUUUUGGACAAUGGGCGAAAGCCUGAUCCAGCCAUUCCGCGUGCAGGAUGAAGGCCCUCGGGUUGUAAACUGCUUUUGUACGGAACGAAACGGCCUUUUCUAAUACAGAGGGCUAAUGACGGUACCGUAAGAAUAAGCACCGGCUAACUACGUGCCAGCAGCCGCGGUAAAGUG
rnacentral:rRNA from 1 species